rnacentral:rRNA from 1 species
CAACCCAUGUGAACUUACCACUGUUGCCUCGGCGCAGUAUCCUGUCCUCGUGGCAGGUUCCGCCGGUGGACUACUAAACUCUUGUUAAUUUUGGCAUUCUGAAUCAAAAACUUAAUAAGUUAAAACUUUCAACAACGGAUCUCUUGGUUCUGGCAUCGAUGAAGAACGCAGCGAAAUGCGAUAAGUAAUGUGAAUUGCAGAAUUCAGUGAAUCAUCGAAUCUUUGAACGCACAUUGCGCCCAUUAGUAUUCUAGUGGGCAUGCCUGUUCGAGCGUCAUUUCAACCCUUAAGCUUAGCUUAGUGUUGGGAGACUGCCUAACCGCAGCUCCUCAAAUUCAGUUGGCAGAGUGUAGGUGUGCUCUGAGCGUAGUAAUUCUUUAUCUCGCUUCUGAAAGCCUUAUACUGUCGCCACAAACCUAUUAUCUUUUUAAUGGUUGACCUCGGAUCAGGUAGGAAUACCCGCUGAACUUAAGCAUAUC